rnacentral:pre_miRNA from 4 species
UCUUAUGGAUAAACAAAGAAAGUGGUUCCUUGAGACAAAAUCUAUUCUUAGUGAAGAUUCUGUGAA